AUUGAACGCUGGCGGCAUGCCUUACACAUGCAAGUCGAACGGCAGCACGGGAGCAAUCCUGGUGGCGAGUGGCGAACGGGUGAGUAAUAUAUCGGAACGUGCCCAGUCGUGGGGGAUAACGCAGCGAAAGCUGUGCUAAUAACGCAUACGAUCUAUGGAUGAAAGCGGGGGAUCGCAAGACCUAGCGCGAUUGGAGCGGCCGACAUCAGAUUAGGUAGUUGGUGGGGUACAGGCUCACAAAGCCGACGAUCUGUAGCUGGUCUGAGAGGACGACCAGACACACUGGAAAUGAGAGACGGUCCAGACUCCUACAGGAGGCAGCAGUGGUGAAUUUUGGACAAUGGGCGCAAGCCUGAUCCAGCAAUGCCGCGUGCAGGAUGAAUGCCUUCGGGUUGUAAACUGCUUUUGUACGGAGCGAAAAGGCUCUCUCUAAUACAGGGGGCUCAUGACGGUACCGUAAGAAUAAGCACCGGCUAACUACGUGCCAGCCGCCGCCGUAACAC
rnacentral:rRNA from 1 species